UACGGAGGAGGCAAGCGUUCUCCGGAAUUAUUGGGCGUAAAGCGUCCGUAGAUGGUUUUGUCAGUCUGCUGUCAAAGCACAGGGCUUAACCCUGUAAAGGCAGUGGAAACUACAAGACUAGAGUGCAGUAGGGGCAGAGGGAAUUCCCAGUGUAGCGGUGAAAUGCGUAGAGAUUGGGAAGAACACCAAUGGCGAAGGCAGUUAGCUAGGCUGAUUCAGACACUGAGAUGUGAAAGCGUGGGGAGCGAACGGG
rnacentral:rRNA from 1 species